rnacentral:sRNA from 1 species
UGAGAAUAACUGCAGAAGAAAUGAGUGCACUAAUAGAAGAACGGGAUGCUGCCUUGUCUAAGUGCAAACGGUUAGAGCAGGAGCUUCAUCAUCUGAAAGAGCAGAACCAGACUUCAGCAAACAACAUGAGACAUCUGACUGCUGAAAACAAUCAAGAACGUGCUCUGAAGGUAAAUCUCCGUUCCUUCUUGCAGGCAAAUUAAGGUUGUAAGCCCUUGGUGCCAGCUUUCUGUGCUGCAUAUAUCAGUUGUGUACAUUUCAGCAGAAGUGAGCUGUGGUGUUUGCCAACAACCCCUUCUUUAAACACAGAUACAGCACCCUUCUGUUAUGGUAUUAUUUUAUUUCAUGUAUGUGUACGUGAAAACAACACAUUUUCUGAAUUUUGAGUGGUGGUAUAUUAAUAACUUUUGGUAAAUGUUUAUUCUGUUUCUUUUUUAUAUCAUUACCUUUUGUAGUUAAUAAAAAGUGACCAUACUAAAAGAAAA